AAAACGACUCUCGGCAACGGAUAUCUAGGCUCUUGCAUCGAUGAAGAACGUAGCGAAAUGCGAUACUUGGUGUGAAUUGCAGAAUCCCGUGAACCAUCGAGUCUUUGAACGCAAGUUGCGCCCGAAGCCUUCUGGCCGAGGGCACGUCUGCCUGGGUGUCACAC
rnacentral:rRNA from 2 species